rnacentral:rRNA from 1 species
CCUACGGGAGGCAGCAGUGGGGAAUAUUGCACAAUGGGGGAAAGCCUGAUGCAGCAACGCCGCGUGAGUGAAGAAGUAUUUCGGUAUGUAAAGCUCUAUCAGCAGGGAAGAAGAGGACGGUACCGGAAUAAGAAGCACCGGAUAACUACGUGCCAGCAGCCGCGGUAAUACGUAGGGGGCAAGCGUUAUCCGGAGUUACUGGGUGUAAAGGGAGCGCAGACGGCAGUGCAAGUCUGGAGUGAAAGCCCGGGGCCCAACCCCGGGACUGCUCUGGAAACUGUGCGGCUAGAGUACUGGAGGGGCACGUGGAAUUCCUAAUGUAGCGGUGAAAUGCGUAGAUAUUUGGAGGAACACCAGUGGCGAAGGCGGCCUGCUGGACAGUAACUGACGUUGAGGCUCGAAAGCGUGGGGAGCAAACAGGAUUAGAUACCCUGGUAGUC